GAUUGUAGUCUGCAACUCGACUACAUGAAGCUGGAAUCGCUAGUAAUCGCGAAUCAGAAUGUCGCGGUGAAUACGUUCCCGGGUCUUGUACACACCGCCCGUCACACCAUGGGAGUCGGAUAUGCCCGAAGUCAGUGACCCAACCUUUUGGAGGGAGCUGCCGAAGGUGGAGCCGAUAACUGGGGUGAAGUCGUAACAAGGUACC
rnacentral:rRNA from 1 species